rnacentral:lncRNA from 1 species
GUUGCAGUUUGGUUUAUUUCAUUUUUUAUUAAAAAAAUACUGGAAAUGUUGUGGUUGAGGUUUUGGGGUGGGAGGUUUGGGGGUUUUGGGGUUUUUAGGUUUAAAUAAGUUUUAAGGAAAAAAAAAAUCUACAGUUUAGGGAGCUUUUAGGAUUUAUUAAAAUCAUUUUAGGAUUUAUUAAAGUUCUUUUAGGAUUUAUUAAAUUCAUUUCUGGAUUUAUAGAAGGAAUUUUAGGAUUUAUUAAAGUCAUUUUAGGAUUUAUUAAAAUCAUUUUAGGAUUUAUAAAAGUUCUUUUAGGAUUUAUUGCAUUUUUUCAGGAUUUAUUGCAGUUUUUCAGGAUUUAUAGAAGUUUUUUCAGGAUUUACUGCAGUUUUUCAGGAUUUAUAAAAGUGUUUUCAGGAUUCAUGGCAGUUUUUCAGGAUUUACUGCAGUUUUUCAGGAUUUACUGCAGUUUUUCAGGAUUUAUAAAAGUGUUUUCAGG